AGUGGUCGUUUAUUAACUGUAGAAAAGUUGUUCGAAAAUUUGAAUUCGGUUCUACGUAAUGAACAUUUAAAUGACAUAUAGUUUACGAGUGUGAACAACUCUUAUGUACAUGUAACUAAACAAGGUGUAUAGAUGUGAACAAAUUUAAUGUGAAACUAGCGUACAUUACAUUAAACCAAAUGUUAACAUGUUUACUGUACACGACGUUUGGUGUGAACACGGCCUUAGUGAAUUAUUUAUUUUGUGAAUUUUUUUUAUAUCUACUUCUACUUAGAGUCUUAGGGUGAAUAUAUCCUUCUAGUCUGUGAUUCGAACAUUUAAAAAAAACGUGUCAUCACAAAUGACAAAUCAUGCAAAAUGGAUGAAACAAUUAUUUUGCUUUGAAUGACUUAAUUAAACUUAAUAUGCUUAAGUUUGUGUUAUUCAUUGUAUUCAAUUGCUCGGUAUGUUAAUUUUACUUACAGAUAAUACAGACGGUGACAGGCUCUAUGGUGUAUUGCUAAAUAGAAAGAUGAAUUGUCUAUUUUAAGCUUUCUAUUUUUAGACAUGUGUUAGAACUACAAUAUUACUACACACAAGAGCACUAUUUAUAGGGUGACCAGUGGGCACCGUUCAGCGUAACUAUUAUCCUUGUGCUUCAAUUCCCAGAAGGUCCUAACCCCCAAAAAAUGUACGGUGGAAACGUAAAAAAAAAAUAAUACCAACUUUGAACCCUUUCAAUCCCCAGAAGGUCCUAACCCCCAAAAAAUCAUUUCAGUGGGUCCUGCUCUGAUUCAUUACCUUUCAUUUGAGCUAUGUCCGGUGUCGAACUUUGCCGUACGGAGCUGGCGAGACUUGCCGAAAGAAUGUACGGUGGAAACGUAAAAAAAAAAAUAAUACCAACUUUGAACCCUUUCAAUCCCAAGAAAGUCCUAACCCCCAAAAAAUCAUUUCAGUGGGUCCUGCUCUGAUUCAUUACCUUUCAUUUGAGCUAUGUCCGGUGUCAAACUUUGCCGUACGGAGCUGGCGAGACUUGCCGAAAGAAUGUACGGUGGAAACGUAAAAAAAAAAUAAUACCAACUUUGAACCCCUUCAAUUCCCAGAAGGUCCUAACCCCCAAAAAAUCAUUUCAGUGGGUCCUGCUCUAAUUCAUUACCUUUCAUUUGAGCUAUGUCCGGUUACGAACUUUGCCGUACGGAGCUGGCGAGACUUGCCGAAAGAAUGUACGGUGGAAACGUAAAAAAAAAAUAAUACCAACUUUGAACCCUUUCAAUCCCCAGAAGGUCCUAACCCCCGAAAAAUCAUUUCAGUGGGUUCUGCUCUGAUUCAUUACCUUUCAUUUGAGCUAUGUCCGGUGUCGAACUUUGCCGUAUGGAGCUGGCGAGACUUGCCGAAAGAAUGUACGGUGGAAACGUAAAAAAAAAAUAAUACCAACUUUGAAUCCCUUCAAUUCCCAGAAGGUCCUAACCCCCAAAAAAUCAUUUCAGUAAGUCCUGCUCUGAUUCAUUACCUUUCAUUUGAGCUAUGUCCGUUGUCGAACUUUGCCGUACGGAGCUGGCGAGACUUGCCGAAAGAAUGUACGGUGGAAACGUAAAAAAAAAAUAAUACCAACUUUGAAUCCCUUCAAUUCCCAGAAGGUCCUAACCCCCAAAAAAUCAUUUCAGUGGGUCCUGCUCUGAUUCAUUACCUUUCAUUUGAGCUAUGUCCGGUGUCGAACUUUGCCGUACGGAGCUGGCGAGACUUGCCGAAAGAAUGUACGGUGGAAACGUAAAAAAAAAAUAAUACCAACUUUGAACCCUUUCAAUCCCCAGAAAGUCCUAACCCCCAAAAAAUCAUUUCAGUAGGUCCUGCUCUGAUUCAUUACCUUUCAUUUGAGCUAUGUCCGGUGUCGAACUUUGCCGUACGGAGCUGGCGAGACUUGCCGAAAGAAUGUACGGUGGAAACGUAAAAAAAAAAAUAAUACCAACUUUGAACCCUUUCAAUUCCCAGAAGGUCCUAACCCCCAAAAAAUCAUUUCAGUGGGUCCUGCUCUGAUUCAUUACCUUUCAUUUGAGCUAUGUCCGGUGUCGAACUUUGCCGUACGGAGCUGGCGAGACUUGCCGAAAGAAUGUACGGUGGAAACGUAAAAAAAAAAAUAAUACCAACUUUGAACCCUUUCAAUCCCCAGAAGGUCCUAACCCCCAAAAAAUCAUUUCAGUGGGUCCUGCUCUGAUUCAUUACCUUUCAUUUGAGCUAUGUCCGGUGUCGAACUUUGCCGUACGGAGCUGGCGAGACUUGCCGAAAGAAUGUACGGUGGAAACGUAAAAAAAAAAAUAAUACCAACUUUGAACCCUUUCAAUCCCCAGAAGGUCCUAACCCCCAAAAAAUCAUUUCAGUGGGUCCUGCUCUGAUUCAUUACCUUUCAUUUGAGCUAUGUCCGGUGUCGAACUUUGCCGUACGGAGCUGGCGAGACUUGCCGAAAGAAUGUACGGUGGAAACGUAAAAAAAAAAAUAAUACCAACUUUGAACCCUUUCAAUCCCCAGAAGGUCCUAACCCCCAAAAAAUCAUUUCAGUGGGUCCUGCUCUAAUUCAUUACCUUUCAUUUGAGCUAUGUCCGGUGUCGAACUUUGCCGUACGGAGCUGGCGAGACUUGCCGAAAGAAUGUACGGUGGAAACGUAAAAAAAAAAAUAAUACCAACUUUGAACCCUUUCAAUUCCCAGAAGGUCCUAACCCCCAAAAAAUCAUUUCAGUGGGUCCUGCUCUGAUUCAUUACCUUUCAUUUGAGCUAUAUCCGGUGUCGAACUUUGCCGUACGGAGCUGGCGAGACUUGCCGAAAGAAUGUACGGUGGAAACGUAAAAAAAAAAUAAUACAAACUUUGAACCCCUUCAAUUCCCAGAAGGUCCUAACCCCCAAAAAAUCAUUUCAGUGGGUCCUGCUCUGAUUUAUUACCUUUCAUUUGAGCUAUGUCCGGUGUCGAACUUUCCCGUACGGAGCUGGCGAGACUUGCCGAAAGAAUGUACGGUGGAAACGUAAAAAAAAAAUAAUACCAACUUUGAACCCUUUCAAUCCCCAGAAGGUCCUAACCCCCAAAAAAUCAUUUCAGUGGGUCCUGCUCUGAUUCAUUACCUUUCAUUUGAGCUAUGUCCGGUGUCGAAUUUUGCCGUACGGAGCUGGCGAGACUUGCCGAAAGAAUGUACGGUGGAAACGUAAAAAAAAAAAUAAUACCAACUUUGAACCCUUUCAAUCCCCAGAAAGUCCUAACCCCCAAAAAAUCAUUUCAAUAGGUCCUGCUCUGAUUCAUUACCUUUCAUUUGAGCUAUGUCCGGUGUCGAACUUUGCCGUACGGAGCUGGCGAGACUUGCCGAAAGAAUGUACGGUGGAAACGUAAAAAAAAAAAUAAUACCAACUUUGAACCCCUUCAAUUCCCAGAAGGUCCUAACCCCCAAAAAAUCAUUUCAGUGGGUCCUGCUCUGAUUUAUUACCUUUCAUUUGAGUUAUGUCCGGUGUCGAACUUUGCCGUACGGAGCUGGCGAGACUUGCCGAAAGAAUGUACGGUGGAAACGUAAAAAAAAAAUAAUACCAACUUUGAACCCUUUCAAUCCCCAGAAGGUCCUAACCCCCAAAAAAUCAUUUCAGUGGGUCCUGCUCUGAUUCAUUACCUUUCAUUUGAGCUAUGUCCGGUGUCGAACUUUGCCGUACGGAGCUGGCGAGACUUGCCGAAAGAAUGUACGGUGGAAACGUAAAAAAAAAAAUAAUACCAACUUUGAACCCUUUCAAUCCCCAGAAGGUCCUAACCCCCAAAAAAUCAUUUCAGUGGGUCCUGCUCUGAUUCAUUACCUUUCAUUUGAGCUAUGUCCGGUGUCGAACUUUGCCGUACGGAGCUGGCGAGACUUGCCGAAAGAAUGUACGGUGGAAACGUAAAAAAAAAAUAAUACCAACUUUGAACCCUUUCAAUCCCCAGAAAGUCCUAACCCCCAAAAAAUCAUUUCAGUAGGUCCUGCUCUGAUUCAUUACCUUUCAUUUGAGCUAUGUCCGGUGUCGAACUUUGCCGUACGGAGCUGGCGAGACUUGCCGAAAGAAUGUACGGUGGAAACGUAAAAAAAAAAUAAUACCAACUUUGAACCCCUUCAAUUCCCAGAAGGUCCUAACCCCCAAAAAAUCAUUUCAGUGGGUCCUGCUCUGAUUCAUUACCUUUUAUUUGAGCUAUGUCCGGUGUCGAACUUUGCCGUACGGAGCUGGCGAGACUUGCCGAAAGAAUGUACGGUGGAAACGUAAAAAAAAAAUAAUACCAACUUUGAACCCCUUCAAUUCCCAGAAGGUCCUAACCCCCAAAAAAUCAUUUCAGUGGGUCCUGCUCUGAUUCAUUACCUUUCAUUUGAGCUAUGUCCGGUGUCGAACUUUGCCGUACGGAGCUGGCGAGACUUGCCGAAAGAAUGUACGUUGGAAACGUAAAAAAAAAAUAAUACCAACUUUGAACCCCUUCAAUUCCCAGAAGGUCCUAACCCCCAAAAAAUCAUUUUAAGUGGGUCCUGCUCUGAUUCAUUACCUUUCAUUUGAGCUAUGUCCGGUGUCGAACUUUGCCGUACGGAGCUGGCGAGACUUGCCGAAAGAAUGUACGGUGGAAACGUAAAAAAAAAAAUAAUACCAACUUUGAACCCUUUCAAUUCCCAGAAGGUCCUAACCCCCAAAAAAUCAUUUCAGUAGGUCCUGCUCUGAUUCAUUACCUUUCAUUUGAGCUAUGUCCGGUGUCGAACUUUGCCGUACGGAGCUGGCGAGACUUGCCGAAAGAAUGUACGGUGGAAACGUAAAAAAAAAAUAAUACCAACUUUGAACCCCUUCAAUUCCCAGAAGGUCCUAACCCCCAAAAAAUCAUUUCAGUGGGUCCUGCUCUGAUUUAUUACCUUUCAUUUGAGCUAUGUCCGGUGUCGAACUUUGCCGUACGGAGCUGGCGAGACUUGCCGAAAGAAUGUACGGUGGAAACGUAAAAAAAAAAAUAAUACCAACUUUGAACCCUUUCAAUUCCCAGAAGGUCCUAACCCCCAAAAAAUCAUUUCAGUGGGUCCUGCUUUGAUUCAUUAUCUUUAAUUUGAGCUAUGUCCGGUGUCAAACUUUGCCGUACGGAGCUGGCGAGACUUGCCGAAAGAAUGUACGGUGGAAACGUAAAAAAAAAAAUAAUACCAACUUUGAACCCUUUCAAUCCCCAGAAAGUCCUAACCCCCAAAAAAUCAUUUCAGUAGGUCCUGCUCUGAUUCAUUACCUUUCAUUUGAGCUAUGUCCGGUGUCGAACUUUGCCGUACGGAGCUGGCGAGACUUGCCGAAAGAAUGUACGGUGGA